rnacentral:rRNA from 1 species
UACGGAGGGGGCUAGCGUUGUUCGGAAUUACUGGGCGUAAAGAGCGCGUAGGCGGCUUUGUAAGUUAGAGGUGAAAGCCCGGAGCUCAACUCCGGAAUUGCCUUUAAGACUACAUCGCUAGAAUCGUGGAGAGGUGAGUGGAAUUCCGAGUGUAGAGGUGAAAUUCGUAGAUAUUCGGAAGAACACCAGUGGCGAAGGCGACUCACUGGACACGUAUUGACGCUGAGGUGCGAAAGCGUGGGGAGCAAACAGG